CCCUUAGAUGUUCUGGGCCGCACGCGUGCUACACUGAUGCAUUCAACGAGUCUAAAACCUGGUCUGAUAGGGCUGGGUAAUCUUUUGAAAGUGCAUCGUGAUUGGGAUAGAUGAUUGCAAUUCUUCAUCUUCAACGAGGAAUGCCUAGUAAACGCAAGUCAUCAGCUUGCAUUGAUUACGUCCCUGCCCUUUGUACACACCGCCUGUCGCUCCUACCGAUUGAAUGAUCCGAUGAAUACCAUGGAUUGAGAGUACGAAUAGGUUCGCUUAUUUCUGCUGCUCGAGAAGUGGAGUAAAUCUUAUCAUUUAGAGGAAGGAGAAGUCGUAACA
rnacentral:rRNA from 1 species